CGGCUAGCAUUCCCACACAAAAACCAAAGUUUGUCAACAGCUCAGGCAGAAAGCUACGUCCUGCUCAUGCUUGGAAAAACCUUUGAAGGGCGUAUCUUUUGUUGAGAGUGCCGACCAGGGACUUCUUCCUCAGCUCCACUGCGGCUUUGAUGGUAUCAGGGAAAUCAGGGAUGUUUGCCAGCUGUCAGCACCCAUUUUGAGACAUUUUAGAGCAGGUCUCUAGUGUCCUGGAGGGCAUGUGCCAGUCACAACAGGCCAAGAGUGACCCCAUCCCACCACGAGAAUGUCGACACAGUGAUGAGCAGGCAGUGGGAGGCCAUCAGGGAAGCAGACGUGGGGAUCACCCAUGGAGGAUGCACUUUCCUCGGAUCAAACCGGGAAUUUACGGCGGAAAUUUUCAGGCCAUGGCGGCCUGGAUUUAUCUCUCGGCCGUCCGUAUCUCCUGUGCCUGUGAAAGAUUUCGGCCCACUGGGAUUGUUGGGAAGACACUGGGAAAGGGCUUGUGAGAAUUAAGCUAGUAAUAAAGAAGAACAAACAUCGGUGAUGUUGGUCAUAAUAAAAUGAGACUGUAUGUA